rnacentral:rRNA from 1 species
AGCAGUCGCCGCGGGAAAACGAAGGGGGCUAGCGUUGCUCGGAAUUACUGGGCGUAAAGGGAGCGUAGGCGGACAUUUAAGUCAGGGGUGAAAUCCCAGAGCUCAACUCUGGAACUGCCUUUGAUACUGGGUGUCUUGAGUGUGAUAGAGGUAUGUGGAACUCCGAGUGUAGAGGUGAAAUUUGUAGAUAUUCGGAAGAACACCAGUGGCGAAGGCGACAUACUGGAUCAUUAUUGACGCUGAGGCUCGAAAGCGUGGGGAGCAAACAGGAUUAGAUACCCCUGUAGUCCCUGUCUCUUAUAC